rnacentral:rRNA from 1 species
AGCGAACGCUGGCGGCAGGCUUAACACAUGCAAGUCGAGCGGGCACUUCGGUGUCAGCGGCAGACGGGUGAGUAACACGUGGGAACGUACCCUUUGGUUCGGAAUAACGCUGGGAAACUAGCGCUAAUACCGGAUACGCCCUUUUGGGGAAAGGCUUGCUGCCGAAGGAUCGGCCCGCGUCUGAUUAGCUAGUUGGUGGGGUAAUGGCCUACCAAGGCGACGAUCAGUAGCUGGUCUGAGAGGAUGAUCAGCCACACUGGGACUGAGACACGGCCCAGACUCCUACGGGAGGCAGCAGUGGGGAAUAUUGGACAAUGGGCGCAAGCCUGAUCCAGCCAUGCCGCGUGAGUGAUGAAGGCCUUAGGGUUGUAAAGCUCUUUUGUCCGGGACGAUAAUGACGGUACCGGAAGAAUAAGCACCGGCUAACUUCGUG